rnacentral:rRNA from 1 species
CGAUUACGGGAGGCAGCAGUGGGGAAUAUUGCGCAAUGGGGGGAACCCUGACGCAGCCAUGCCGCGUGAAUGAAGAAGGCCUUCGGGUUGUAAAGUUCUUUCGGUAUUGAGGAAGGGAUGUGUGCUAACAGUACACGUCAUUGACGUUAAAUACAGAAGAAGCACCGGCUAACUCCGUGCCAGCAGCCGCGGUAAUAUCG